CCUACGGGAGGCAGCAGUGGGGCAUAUUUGGCAAUGGGCGCAAGCCUGACCCAGCAACGCCGCGUGAAGGAAGAAGGCUUUCGGGUUGUAAACUUCUUUUCUCAGGGACGAAGCAAUUAACGGUACCUGAGGAAUAAGCCACGGCUAACUACUUGCCAGCAGCCGCGGUAAUCCGUAGGUGGCAAGCGUUAUCCGUAUUUACUGGGUGUAAAGGGCGUGUAGGCGGGACUGCAGGUCAGAUGUGAAAACCACGGGCUCAACCUGUUGCCUGCAUUUGAUACUGUAGUGCGUGAGUACUGGAGAGGCAGACGGAAUUCGUAGUGUAGCGGUGAAAUGCGGAGAUAUUAGGAGGAACACCAGUGGCGAAGGCGGUCUGCUGGACAGCAACUGACGCUGAGGCGCGAAAGCGUGGGGAGCAAACAGGAUUAGAUACCCCGGUAGUC
rnacentral:rRNA from 1 species